UACGGAGGGGGCUAGCGUUGUUCGGAAUUACUGGGCGUAAAGCGCGCGUAGGCGGCUUUGUAAGUUAGAGGUGAAAGCCCGGAGCUCAACUCCGGAAUUGCCUUUAAGACUGCAUCGCUAGAAUCAUGGAGAGGUGAGUGGAAUUCCGAGUGUAGAGGUGAAAUUCGUAGAUAUUCGGAAGAACACCAGUGGCGAAGGCGACUCACUGGACAUGUAUUGACGCUGAGGCACGAAGGCCAGGGGAGCAAACGGG
rnacentral:rRNA from 1 species